UUGAAGGAUUUAAAGAUUGGGCUUUAUUUUUAACUCCUCUCCCAAUGGCAGGGACUCACUGGUGCGGACUUAGGAAGUCAACUGGAAGUUGGACUGGGCUGUGGAAACCCAGGGGAGUGAAACAGCCUGCAGUUGGGGAAGGACGAAGCUUGGAGGAAAUGCCUGCUGGCCUCUCCGAGUUCCACCCGCCUGACUCUCCCGGCUGUGAGUCCCCAGAGGACGAUGGCCAUGCUAAUCCACUGGGUGACCAAUGCCCCAGCACAAGCAUGGCCCAGGCUUCUUUGGGAGACAACAAAAGAUGGAAACAACGCAAAUGUCCAUUAACUGGAAAAUGGGUAAACAAACUGGGCUCAACCACACAAUGGAAUACUAGUCCGCAAUAAAAAGUAGCAUGUUACUGAAACACACACCAGCAUGGAUGGAUCUCAAAAAUAUACCGAGGGAAUGAAGCCGGAGACAAAUCACAUGAUUCCAAUGACAUGAAAGCCUGGAAACUAAACUAUGGUGAUAGAAAGCAGAUCCGUGGUUACCAGAGGGGUAAGGGGGAUCCACUGUGCAGGGGCACAAGGGAACUUUCUGAGUUGAUCUAAAUGUUCUGUAUCUUGACUAUGCUGGUGGUUACACAGGU